GUCCAUUUGGAGGUGGUCAGAGGUCUGAGGCAGGUGUCGCCCUCAGUGACCUUUGACCCCUCUGCCUCCUUGCACAGUCCCGCCGAAGUUCUGGUGGACCUGGUUCCCAGGCUGCUGCUGAACCUGCAGGCCCAGCACAUGAAAGCCCUCCCGAGGUACCAGCGAGGCUGGCUGGCCCUGACCGACGUGGUCCUCAGUGCCGUGCUGGAAGUCCUUGACAACAUGGCCUCUGCUCUGGACAACCUGGAGACCCUCAAGGUCUACUACUCUCCCGCCACAGGGGUCCGUCUGGUGCACUCCGUCCAGAGGCUGAUGGUGAAGCUACAGGGCUCUGAUGAACGCAGUCUGACCGGCAGGAUGGUGGACGCCCUGACCGUGAAGGUCCAGAAGAUGUUCCAGCAGCGCCAGGAUGUCAUCCUCACUGAGGCUGUCUUGGACGACCUGUCUGACGCCAAGGAAACAGUGCCUGAGAGGGCACUGUAUCCACCAGGGCCAAGCAGCCAACAGCUGAUUCUUCACGCUGAAGAACUCAGGACUCUGGUGGGCCUGGCGUUGGUCCAGAUAUUCGACGGGCGCGUCGAGGCUCAGCUGGACGUGUCGGACUGGCCCAUCUUCGACGAGCUUGAGAACCUGCUCUCGCACUACAACAUGAGAACCUCGAAGAAGAUGGAGAAGGUCAACUGGAGGCUCAGCCUGGAGUCCAUCGUGAGGAUGUCCACGGAGCUCCACAACAGUCUCCACAGCGCCUUCGGGUCCAAGCUGAACCUUCAGAUGGCCGUGAAGCACAGGGUCAAGGUGCUGACCCGUUCUAUGAACUACAGGGUGGUGGACCUGAUACUGCAGUUGCAGGAUCGUCACCUGGCUGAGAGCAUGGCUGAGGAGAGCAGUGGCCAGUUCGCCAUGAAAGUACCUGUGGUGGAGGAGAUCCCUACUUCCCCUGGCUGCUUCUCUGCUCUCUGGAAGGUUCUGAGGUCUAGCUUCACCAAGAGGCAGAAGAGAGUCAGCGCUGGACCGGGUGUUCGAUGCCGACCCUGA
rnacentral:lncRNA from 1 species